ACAUAGGGUAGAUCUGGCUGGCGAGGUGGGUGUUCCCUUCCUCCCUCAACGAUCCAUGUGUGUCCCUCCCAAAGCUGUGUGCUUGGUCGAAGAGGAUGACCACUCCCGAUAGAGAAGGACUGUUCUUCGGUCAAGGGUAUAGAAGUAGCUGCGCUCCCCUGCUAGAACCUCCAAACAAGCUCUCAAGAAUACAUAGGGGAUCCACAUCUUGUACAGCAAUUAACCACUAGGAAGAAUGUAUGCAAUGUGUUAAUUAUU
rnacentral:snRNA from 1 species